UACGGAGGAUCCGAGCGUUAUCCGGAUUUAUUGGGUUUAAAGGGUGCGUAGGCGGAAAUGUAAGUCAGUGGUGAAAUCCUGCAGCUUAACUGUAGAAUAGCCGUUGAAACUGUGUUUCUUGAGUACAUUUGAGGUAGGCGGAAUGUGGUGUGUAGCGGCGAAAUGCAUAGAUAUACCACAGAACACCGAUUGCGAAGGCAGCUUACUAAACUGUCACUGACGCUGAUGCACGAAAGCGUGGGUAUCAAACAGGAUUAGAUA
rnacentral:rRNA from 1 species